AAGUGCUCUCUGUCUGCCUCAGUGAUGGUGGAAUGAAGAUCAAGUGGGUGGACAACACACACGCUUUAGGGAUUUUUUCCAGCGAGUCAGCAGCACUCCAUGCUCUCUCUAUCUGCCACCCACUGCUGAAGGCUCGAGCACUGGCUGAUGGGAGUAAAAAAGCUCAAGGCAAGGCUAUCAGACGAGCAGAGUUCAUCCAGCCAGUGAAGGAACGUCCGAGGACAGACUGUGCUGUUGCUAGGCGGAUGGUAACCAGAGCCUUGGGCAUUCAGGGGCGAGGCAGAGUGCAGCGAUAUUGAGGAGUGCCAACAUGCACUACAGGUCCAGCAGAGGUCUGCCCUCCUUUCACGGUCCCUCUGAAGAGACUCAAAAGUGGCCAUGUUUGAAUCAGUGACCAUGAAGAGUGAUGACUGCUCACCUUCACUGAUCAGCACAGCAGGCUGGCACAGUUAAGAAGAGGCCUGGGAGUUUAAUGCCCUUGCUGCCAUCAUCAUCAUCCAUCCUGAAUGAUCUUUGAGCAGGAGCUGCUGUGCUGUAUUUGAAGCUGACCUCUGACCUUUGUACAUUACUGCAGUGGUGCCUCUUGUUCACUGUUAGCCUGACUAAUAAUGAAAUUAUCAUAGUGAUUUAAGAUGGGAGGCUUAUUUUGAUUUUAUUGCAUGCUGACUCAAAACUAAAAUUUCUUUCAAGGGUGAUUUCCUGGCAGGAUUUUUUAGUUUCAGAUUAAUUGGAAGGAUCCAUGGAUGGAUAGAUGUGUUUUUUUCUUCCCCGUUCUCGUCUUGCCCUGCUGAUGCAGGUGAUGAAUUGGUUGUGUAAUUCUACAGAAGUAUUCAUUCCUUUUUAACUUCAUUUGACGUAUCUCAGGAUUUGGUCAGAGAAGUACAUUGUGUAUAGAUAAGAGUAAUGCAGAUCCGCUAACAAACAGAUUUCAUAAAUAAGAUAAAACACUAUUUUUUUUUUUGUUAAUUGUAAGAUUUUAAGUUUCCGUUUCUGUUUUAAAAAACUUUUUUUUUUUUACAGUUGUAAAAGUAAUAGGUUGUUGCCUGUGUAAUUAACACACAAAUACUUAAAGUAUAAAGUUCUUCACAUUACAGGAAACUUUGGGAGGGAGCUUAGAAACGUUCAGUGUUACCUGUUCCUCUAAUGUUAUGUCGGCUUGUUUUAAUGUCAUUUUUGUCACUGAUGUCUCAUCAAACAUCUUCUGUUUGUAAAAUAUCAAAAUAUCAUUGAGAAACUGUAAAAGUUUGUAUUUAGUAAAGGUUCUACAUAAAAAGGGGGCUUCCUCUGAAAUCAUCCUCUGUGCCUGUGAGUGAAUUAAAUCUAAAUCUAUUGA